rnacentral:rRNA from 1 species
GACGAACGCUGGCGGCGUGCCUAAUACAUGCAAGUCGAACGAGAGCGACCGGUGCUUGCACUGGUCAAUCUAGUGGCGAACGGGUGAGUAACACGUGGGUAACCUGCCCAUCAGAGGGGGAUAACAUCCGGAAACGGAUGCUAAAACCGCAUAGGUCUUCGAACCGCAUGGUUUGAAGAGGAAAAGAGGCGCACGCUUCUGCUGAUGGAUGGACCCGCGGUGCAUUAGCUAGUUGGUGAGGUAACGGCUCACCAAGGCCGUGAUGCAUAGCCGACCUGAGAGGGUGAUCGGCCACAUUGGGACUGAGACACGGCCCAAACUCCUACGGGAGGCAGCAGUAGGGAAUCUUCCGCAAUGGACGCAAGUCUGACGGAGCAACGCCGCGUGAGUGGAGAAGGUUUUCGGAUCGUAAAACUCUGUUGUUAGAGAAGAACAAGUGCUAGAGUAACUGUUAGCGCCUUGACGGUAUCUAACCAGAAAGCCACGGCUAACUACGUG